rnacentral:rRNA from 1 species
UACGUAGGGGGCAAGCGUUGUCCGGAUUAUUGGGCGUAAAGAGCGUGUAGGCGGCCAGGUAGGUCAGCUGUGAAACUCGAGGCUCAACCUCGAGACGUCGGUUGAAACCACCUGGCUAGGAGUCCGGAAGAGGAGAGUGGAAUUCCUGGUGUAGCGGUGAAAUGCGCAGAUAUCAGGAAGAACACCCGUGGCGAAGGCGGUCUCUCGUGGGACGGUACUGACGCUGAGAGCGAAAGCGUGGGGAGCGAACAGG